GACUGCGGACGACAUUG
rnacentral:rRNA from 1 species